rnacentral:rRNA from 1 species
UACAGAGGUGGCAAGCGUUGUUCGGAAUUACUGGGCGUAAAGCGUGCGCAGGCGGUUGUGCAAGACAGAUGUGAAAUCCCCGGGCUUAACCUGGGAACUGCAUUUGUGACUGCACAGCUGGAGUGCGGCAGAGGGGGAUGGAAUUCCGCGUGUAGCAGUGAAAUGCGUAGAUAUGCGGAGGAACACCGAUGGCGAAGGCAAUCCCCUGGGCCUGCACUGACGCUCAUGCACGAAAGCGUGGGGAGCAAACAGG